AGGGAUUGCCUUAGUAACUGCGAGUGAAGCGGCAAGAGCUCAAAUUUGAAAUCUGUGCCCUCAAGGGCACCGAGUUGUAACCUUGAGAUACGUUUUCGACCGACAGGCCUGCCUUAAGUUCCUUGGAACAGGACGUCACAGAGGGUGAGAAUCCCGUGAACGGUAGGCCUCGAGGCGCAUGAUACGUAUUCGACGAGUCGAGUUGUUUGGGAAUGCAGCUCAAAGUGGGUGGUAAAUUUCAUCUAAAGCUAAAUAUUGGGGAGAGACCGAUAGCGCACAAGUAGAGUGAUCGAAAGAUGAAAAGCACUUUGAAAAGAGAGUUAAAAAGUACGUGAAAUUGUUGAAAGGGAAGCGCUUGAGACCAGACUCAAUCUCCGUUGAUCAACUUCAGUUCUCUGUUGUGCACUCGGCGGCUUUUGGGACAGCAUCGGUUCCCGCGGAGGGACAAAGCCUCAGGAAAUGUGGCACCCUUCGGGGUGUGUUAUAGUCCUCUGGGCAAUGCCUCCAGCGGGGACCGAGGACCGCGCUCCGGCUAGGAUGCUGUCAUAAUGGUCUCCAGCGACCCGUCUUGAAACACGGACCAAGGAGUCUAACAUCUAUGCGAGUGUUCGGGUGGAAAACCCUUGCGCGUAAUGAAAGUGAACGGAGGUGGGAAUCGCAAGACGCACCAUCGACCGAUCCUGAAGUCUUCCGAAAGGAUUUGAGUAUGAGCAUAGCUGUUGGGACCCGAAAGAUGGUGAACUAUGCCUGAAU
rnacentral:rRNA from 1 species